rnacentral:tRNA from 1 species
GGGACCGUGGGGUAGCUUGGCAUCCUUCGGCCCUUGGGUGGCCGUCACCCGUGUUCGAAUCACGGCGGUCCCA